rfam:TPA: Bos taurus chromosome 29, whole genome shotgun sequence.
UUCUCUGUAGCUCAGCUGGUAAAGAAUCUGCCUGUAAUGCAGGAGACCCCGGUCCAAUUUCUGGGCUGGGAAG